ensembl:lncRNA
GUAAACACACGCACGCACGCACAGCGGUCACUCUGUGGGACUGCUGCUUUUCAUUAGCACUGAGAUGGGAUGCAGUCUAUCUAGGCAGAAUUAGCCGGACGGGAGAGCGUGAUGGGAAAGGGAGGAGGGGGAAUGAUUCAUUUCAUUUUAAAAUAGUACUGGUUGGCUGUUUAAAAUAACAGUACUGGUUAACUGUUUUGGCCUCCAGUCUCUCUUUGCAUGCCAUUUCUUUGCACUUUUGUCAGUGUGCUGCCAGUUUGCCUGUAGCAGCUAACAGCUGUUGAACUUGGUUAAACCAUGACAGAUUCCUACCAGAUUGGAAGCAAGGUCAAAUCAAAGUUGAAAAAGGUUAGCGGCCAUGAAACGAUAAUUAUUUCAAGUGUGUGUGUGUGUGUGUGUGUGUUUGUGUCAGUGUGUAUUUGUGUGCGUUCCUGCGUUGUAGAGGCAUAUUUGCAUUGUGUGUAUAAACGUGUGUGCUGAGUCUCAAGCUCGGUGCAUGCGUGUGUGUGUGUGUGUUCUGCAUUCCGACAUCCUCUUCUUCAGUCCCAUUGUUUACAGUGAGCCACUGCUACUCCUCUGCCUCCCCCUGUCUCUUCACACUCCCUCUCUCCUUCCCUCAGGCAACAGGCUAUUAUAAAUCAUGGUGAUAUUCAGGAAAAGAGAGAGAGAGAAAGGAGAAUCACCUUGAGAGCAUUCACAUGCGUUGCCUGCACACGCACACAGACACACUUGAACCCCCUAUUCUCACACACUGUGAUCCAAGCUUCUGAGAGCUUUCAGAAAUGUCUAAAAAUAACAUUUUUCCCACAUGCACUGUGCCAUAUAAAAUAUUUAUAGUGAUUCCCAGUCCUUUAGCUCUGGCAUUGAUGCUGCAAGACUGAGAGAGCAACUGUGUUCAUGCGUGUGUGUGUGUGUGUGUGUGUUGUGUGCACGCACUUGUGUGUCAGAAAGCGAGGAAGAGUUCUUACAUAGCACACUGCGGUCAGAGAGCAUCUUACAACAGAGAGCCAAAGGCCCUCUCUCUCCAACUGAUCUCUGUAUUUUAUCUUUCUCUCCAUCUAGUCUCUCUUUUGGUCUAGUCUCGCUUAUCCUCUUGCUUUAAAAAAAAAUUCCGGCAUGUAUUUCUAAAUCUCUGUUCAUUCAUUUAGCUCACGUCUCAUCCUUCUACUCCUGCAGCAAUCUCCCAUCACCUUCUCUAUCUAGGACUGCAAUUCCUGUCCUACACAGCUCUAGGCACAGCUCUCUGUCACUAUAACAGCUCUAGAUACAGCUCUCUGUUAAAAUAACAGCUCUAGGCACAGCUCUCUGUCACUAUAACAGCUCUAGGCACAGCUCUCUGUCACUAUAACAGCUCUAGGCACAGCUCUCUGUCACUAUAACAGCUCUAGAUACAGCUCUCUGUUACAAUAACAGCUCUAGGCACAGCUCUCUGUUAGAAUAACAGCUCUAGGCACAGCUCUCUGUCACCAUAACAGCUCUAGAUACAGCUCUCUGUUAGAAUAACAGCUCUAGGCACAGCUCUCUGUCACUAUAACAGCUCUAGGCACAGCUCUCUGUCACUAUAACAGCUCUAGAUACAGCUCUCUGUUAGAAUAACAGCUCUAGAUACGGCUCUCUGUCAGUAUAAACACCUAUAACUUACUGGUAACAGGUUCCUUCCUGUCCUGUCCUUCAUUUGCACUGAUCUGGGUAUUUCCUGGAUAGUUUAAAGCAAUAUGUCAUCAAAGUACGCAAAGUAAUCACCGCUAGUUAAAGACCGGAUGAAAUGAAGAGGUGACAAGGAUACAGAUGGUUGUCUUUAUUUCUGAUGGAAAUCAUAUUCAGUUUGUGUUUGACUUAUGAGUGCUGAGUGACAAGCGAGUCAAGCAGUACGUGUAAAGCUGUGUUGAUGGUAGCAAGUCAAAACAAUAAUUCACCGUGGGAGGCUUUCUGCACAGUGCUUCAUAUAUUAUUGAUAACUCCUACAUUAAUGAACACGCGCACACACAUAGCCUACAUGGUAUAUCUGCUUUGAGUGGGCGACUACAUGAGUUAUAGAACCACAUGAGUUAUAGAACUACAUGAGUUAUAGAACUAUGUCCACAGAACUGCACCGGUUGAUUUAUAAUGUAGAAUAUAGACAAUGGUGGAUGUUCUUUAUUCCGGAAUGUCAUGGGCUCCAUUAUCGCAGAAGACACGUCAAGGGCACUUAGUGCCGGGCAAUCAAUAUGUAACCCAAAUUUCACCAAUGUCCACCUUGGUUACUAUGACCGAGAACUAUGGUUGCCAUGGCAGUAUAGGGUUCUAUCUUGUUUUCCUAUUAGUAUGACGACUUGUUUUCUAUGUGUCUCGUAGCAUUUCAGAUAAUAUUUUGGGGGGCUUAAUAUGGAAUCAGAACGAUUGUUAUAACACUACUCUGUUGGUCUCUGUACUUAUACUGUUUUGUGAAAGCAGUUGUUCCCGUGGAUCCAUGUAAUUAAACUUGAAAUAGUCAACUGUUAUACCAGACUCUGAGAAGUUUUUACUUGUAUAAAAUCGCAAAACGUUUUCCACAAUUGGAUUGUUUUUUCCUCCCGUAUUUUUGGCUUCUAAAAAACAUACAAAACUGUGAUUCCGUGAUGUGCAUGUUUCAGUGUUACGCAAUGAAUACACAAUGAAUGUGUAAGCCAUGAAUGUGUUUCCUCAGAUUCCGUCCAUGCAUUGGGACUGUAGUGGAGGAAGCUUUGAUCUGUCGUACUGUGGUGUGUUCCGGUGCCUGGAGACACCUCAGCAGUCCUGGAUCAAACAACCAUCCCUUUCUCCUCUCUAAUGGCCGGGUGGUCUUUUCUUUAUAAUGCACUAAGUCAGUCACUCCAGUGUUGCUAACUCCUCCCACGGAGUGACACACUGAGACAGGGGGACGUGGUAUUGCAUGGUAAUGUUAAGAGGCACAUUCCCUUGAGGUUCCUGUAGGGUUUUCUAUAUCCAUGCCUAUACUCAGACACCUCCCAAAUGAUUAACACCCCUGACGAAAAUGAGCAAAACGGACUAUUUUGAAGGCACACAACAAUCUGAGAAAACGAUAUCACUUCAUUGCAACACCAUAGCUCAC